UGGGGAAUCUUGCGCAAUGGGCGAAAGCCUGACGCAGCGACGCCGCGUGAGUGAUGAAGGCCUUCGGGUUGUAAAGCUCUGUGGGGAGGAGAGAAUAAGGUGGAGCGAAUACCUCCAUCGAUGACGGUACCUCCUUAGCAAGCACCGGCUAACUCUGUGCCAGCAGCCGCGGUAAGACAGAGGGUGCAAACGUUGUUCGGAAUUACUGGGCGUAAAGCGUGUGUAGGCGGUCCUAAAAGUCGGAUGUGAAAGCCCCGGGCUCAACCCGGGAAGUGCACUCGAUACUGCAGGACUUGAGUGUCGGAGAGGUUGGUGGAAUUCUCGGUGUAGAGGUGAAAUUCGUAGAUAUCGAGAGGAACACCGGCGGCGAAGGCGGCCAACUGGACGAACACUGACGCUGAGACACGAAAGCGUGGGGAGCAAACAGG
rnacentral:rRNA from 1 species